rnacentral:rRNA from 1 species
UACGUAGGUGGCGAGCGUUAUCCGGAUUUAUUGGGCGUAAAGCGUGCGCAGGCGGCUUGUUAAGUCUAAAAUAAAAGCCCGGAGCUUAACUCCGGUUCGUUUUAGAAACUGGCGAGCUUGAGUAUGGUAGAGGCAAACGGAAUUUCUAGUGUAGCGGUAAAAUGCGUAGAUAUUAGAAGGAACACCAGUGGCGAAGGCGGCCUGCUGGACCGGAACUGACGCUGAGGCACGAAAGCGUGGGGAGCAAACAGG